AAUGUGCACAUAUUCCACAAUUCAAACUUAAUUUCUAAAUGAUUAAUACAUUUUUAGAAUACUAUGUAGAUAUUUAGGUUAAAGCUAUGAUGCGAGUUUUGGACUUUGAAAACUUGUGGCUUUAAUGGUGAGAGAUGUGGGCUUUCAAAAUCUGAAGCUUUUUUCGACAAAGUGAGUGAGUUAAUCUCUCGAAUAUUUAAAACAUUUAGUCGAAUGCUCAAAAAACUCUGACCGAACUUCUACGAUUUGCAAUCAUUCUAUUCUCAAGGAUGACUUCCAAAGUACUGACAGGUAUGUUGUCCUUGUUUUCAAACCAACGAAUGAAAAAGCUUCUUGUAAAAUCUGUCAGUCGCUCUGGGUGGCUUUUAACAAAGCUUUGUUGUAUGUUCGAUGAAAAGAGCUGGAUAAUAUUGAUUAAGCGGUAAAAUUAGCUUUAAAAUUACAUAUAUUUACAUAAUUUUACCAAUAAAAUUUUUUUCUGUGCUGUUGCCAAAUGUCACUAUAAUCACAAAGACUUGUAAA